rnacentral:rRNA from 1 species
AUUGAACGCUGGCGGCAGGCCUAACACAUGCAAGUCGAACGAGUGGCGGACGGGUGAGUAAUGCUUGGGAAUCUGCCUGAUGGAGGGGGAUAACUACUGGAAACUGUCGCUAAUACCGCAUACCAUCGGAUGAGCCCAAGUGGGAUUAGGUAGUUGGUGGGGUAAUGGCCUACCAAGGCGACGAUCCCUAGCUGGUCUGAGAGGAUGACCAGCCAAACCGGGACUGAGACACGGUCCGGACUCCGACGGGAGGAAGCAGUGGGGAAUAUUGCGCAAUGGGGGCAAGCCUGAUGCAGCCAUGCCGCGUGAAUGAAGAAGGCCUUCGGGUUGUAAAGUUCUUUCGGUGACGAGGCGUUAAUCACAGAAGAAGCACCGGCUAACUCCGUGCCAGCAGCCGCGGUAAUUC